GACGAACGCUGGCGGCGUGCUUAACACAUGCAAGUCGAGCGGUAAGGCCCUUUCGGGGGUACGACGAGCGGCGAACGGGUGAGUAACACGUGGGUGACCUGCCCUCAGCUCUGGGAUAAGCCUGGGAAACCGGGUCUAAUACUGGAUAUGACUCCAUGACGCAUGUUGUGGGGUGGAAAGCCUUGUGCGGCUGAGGAUGGGCCCGCGGCCUAUCAGCUUGUUGGUGGGGUGAUGGCCUACCAAGGCGACGACGGGUAGCCGGCCUGAGAGGGCGACCGGCCACACUGGGACUGAGACACGGCCCAGACUCCUACGGGAGGCAGCAGUGGGGAAUCUUGCGCAAUGGGCGAAAGCCUGACGCAGCGACGCCGCGUGAGGGAUGACGGCCUGU
rnacentral:rRNA from 1 species